rnacentral:sRNA from 1 species
GGAUGUGAGGGCGAUCUGGCUGCGACAUCUGUCACCCCAUUGAUCGCCAGGGUUGAUUCGGCUGAUCUGGCUGGCUAGGCGGGUGUCCCCUUCCUCCCUCACCGCUCCAUGUGCGUCCCUCCCGAAGCUGCGCGCUCGGUCGAAGAGGACGACCAUCCCCGAUAGAGGAGGACCGUUCUUCGGUCAAGGGUAUACGAGUAGCUGCGCUCCCCUGCUAGAACCUCCAAACAAGCUCUCAACCCCCUGUAUUCCCACGACAACAUUCUGAAUCAGCUUCCCUUCCAAGAAGCCCUCUAGUUUCUU